rnacentral:rRNA from 1 species
AACGAACGCUGGCGGCAUGCCUAACACAUGCAAGUCGAACGAUGCUUUCGGGCAUAGUGGCGCACGGGUGCGUAACGCGUGGGAAUCUGCCUUGGGGUACGGAAUAACUCAGAGAAAUUUGAGCUAAUACCGUAUGAUGUCUUCGGACCAAAGAUUUAUCGCCCUGAGAUGAGCCCGCGUAGGAUUAGCUAGUUGGUGGGGUAAAGGCCUACCAAGGCGACGAUCCUUAGCUGGUCUGAGAGGAUGAUCAGCCACACUGGGACUGAGACACGGCCCAGACUCCUGCGGGAGGCAGCAGUGGGGAAUAUUGGACAAUGGGCGCAAGCCUGAUCCAGCAAUGCCGCGUGAGUGAUGAAGGCCUUAGGGUUGUAAAGCUCUUUUACCCGGGAAGAUAAUGACUGUACCGGGAGAAUAAGCCCCGGCUAACUCCGUGCCAGCAGCCGCAGUAA